GAUGAACGCUGGCGGCGUGCCUAAUACAUGCGAGUCGAACGAAUCUUCUUCGGAAGAUGAGUGGCGAACGGGUGAGUAAUACAUAGGUAACCUGCCCCUGUGCGGGGGAUAACAGGAGGAAACUCCUGCUAAUACCGCAUAGCCAUGAGCACCGCAUGGAGCUCAUGCCAAAUAUCCUUUCGGGGAUAGCGCAGGGAUGGACCUAUGGCGCAUUAGCUGGUUGGCGGGGCAACGGCCCACCAAGGCAACGAUGCGUAGCCGGCCUGAGAGGGCGGACGGGCACAUUGGGACUGAGACACGGCCCAGACUCCUACGGGAGGCAGCAGGAGGGAAUUUUCGGCAAUGGGGGAAACCCUGACCGAGCAACGCCGCGUGAGCGAAGAAGGCCUUCGGGACGUAAAGCUCUGUUGUAAAGGAAGAACGGCGCAUACAGGAAAUGGUAUGCGAGUGACGGUACUUUACCAGAAAGCCACGGCUAACUACGUGCCAGCAGCCGCCGUAA
rnacentral:rRNA from 1 species